AACGAACGCUGGCGGCGUGGAUAAGACAUGCAAGUCGAACGGGAUUCUCCGAGUAGCAAUAUGAGGAGGGUUCAGUGGCGUAAGGGUGCGUAACACGUGGGCAAUCUGCCGAAAAGUGGGGGAUAGCUCGUCGAAAGGCGAAUUAAUACCGCAUGUGGUUUGUGGAGUCAUCUCCACUUUACCAAAGUCGGUCGUAGCAAUACGGCUGACGCUUUUUGAUGAGCCCGCGGCCUAUCAGCUAGUUGGCGGGGUAAAGGCCCACCAAGGCUAUGACGGGUAGCUGGUCUGAGAGGACGACCAGCCACACUGGAACUGAGACACGGUCCAGACACCUACGGGUGGCAGCAGUCGAGAAUUUUUCUCAAUGGGGGAAACCCUGAAGGAGCGACGCCGCGUGGAGGAUGAAGGUCUUCGGAUUGUAAACUCCUGUCAUUAGGGAACAAACUGCACGGAUUAACUGUCUGUGCACUGAUAGUACCUGAAGAGGAAGAGACGGCUAACUCUGUGCCAGCCGCCGCGGUAAAAC
rnacentral:rRNA from 1 species